rnacentral:tRNA from 13 species
GGGCCUAUAGCUCAGCUGGGAGAGCGUUCGGUUCGCAUCCGAGAGGUCAAGGGUUCGAAUCCCUCUAGGUCCACCA